AACGAACGCUGGCGGCAUGCCUAACACAUGCCAGUCGAACGAGACCUUCGGGUCGAGUGGCGCACGGGUGCGUAACGCGUGGGAACCUGCCCUUAGGUUCGGAAUAACUCCCCGAAAGGGGUGCUAAUACCGGAUAAUGUCUUCGGACCAAAGAUUUAUCGCCUUUGGAUGGGCCCGCGUUGGAUUAGCUAGUUGGUAGGGUAAAAGCCUACCAAGGCGACGAUCCAUAGCUGGUCUGAGAGGAUGAUCAGCCACACUGGGACUGAGACACGGCCCAGACUCCUACGGGAGGCAGCAGUGGGGAAUAUUGGACAAUGGGCGAAAGCCUGAUCCAGCAAUGCCGCGUGAGUGAUGAAGGCCUUAGGGUUGUAAAGCUCUUUUACCCGGGAUGAUAAUGACAGUACCGGGAGAAUAAGCUCCGGCUAACUCCGUG
rnacentral:rRNA from 1 species